UCGCUGAGUGUAAAGAGGCUCUGAGACUAGAGUUUGAGAACAUCUACCUAAGGAAGAGCUUACGAAUUCCAAUACCAUGGCAGGAAUGGCGAUCCUUAGAGAAGAUGGAUUCAUUUCAGGGACAUGAUAACUGUAAAAAGAUCAACUCUUCCUCUCUGAACCAACAGCCUGUGUCUACUCCCAAGUGCAAGUGUCCUGAGAGAGGUAUGGCUGCAUGCCUGCCAGGGAGUUUCCUUCCUUUACUUCACAGCACUGUUUGUUCACAUUUUCUUCCUUAUUGACUCGAACACAAGGACACCGCCUACCUCAUGUCUUCCUUCUUCCCGUGGAUGUCCAGAUGAAGCACUCCACACUCCUUUGAGCGAGAUAAACAGGGAAGAUGUGUGCUUAGUCCAGAGGUUUAAUCAAGAAAUGAAAGCAGAGACAAUAAAGUUUUGGUCUUGGUUCUCCUGUUGGCUUCAGAAUGAACAUAAUUAAGAUGAUUAACGAUCAACCCAGGCCUGAAAAAUGAGUAACUGUAGGUCAUGUUGCCAUGAAGUUACGAAGAAAAAGAACUCUUCAGAGGUGUAUACAUGUUCCUGGCCACUCUGCUUCUUAGGGUGGAGUUAGAGGACUCCCCGCCCUCCUUGCCUGCGAAGGAGGAGGCGUGGCCACACAGAUAAAGCUGGUCUGAAAAGAGCACGGCUUUAUUUGUUCUGGGGCCAGGAACCUGUGGAUUGGAUAAUUCUGCGUUGCGGCAGCAUUGUCAACUGAUGGACCCACCAGUUUCUGAAUCAUGCUAAUGGAUUACUGUCAACUUGCUGGAGCUUUGAAGAAGGGCUUCAGAAGCUGAUGGCAUAGUUAUGAGAGGGGUGAAGACCGUGACUGCAUUUCCAACAGACCCUGAGGACAAUUGGGAAGAAUGUGCUGAAUAU
rnacentral:antisense_RNA from 1 species